AGAGUGCGCACUCUUCACAGUUAUCCUUGGUACUCCUUUAAAAGCCACUUCUGCACAGAAAGCAGUGUGGCGAGUUAGCUUACAAGACAAUGUGGAUCUGAGUUACAUCUGCUCGAUCAAUGUCAAACCUCAAAAAUCGCAAUUAACUAGGAAAAAAGUCUGUCGGAAUUAUAUUCCAUUUAGGAGAGAAACGUAUUUUGUGACCAUUCAAGUCCCUAUGCCUCCUCCUUUUUCGCAAGGUGUGGCAUCAAAUGUCUGCUAGCGGAAGCCUCUGGGUUUAACGGAAUGAAGACGAAUGGUGUGUAAGCAUUACGCGCUUUGAGUGAACACGGCGCUUCUGAAUCACUUGAAACCCUUUUCCCUGUUGACUCUGGCUGCCAACAUGAUGGUCCUUCAGUUUUCAGGAUCACGUCUGAUGUGUGGUGCACUCACCAUCCGGCAUGGAAACGAGGAUAUUGACAAAAAUAAGCCGUGUGAUUUUCCUGCUACAUCUCCUUUCUCUCCCCAGUUAAGGUAACAAUCAUCCUUAAAACUGUGUUCAUGUUAGUUUUAUUUUCUAUUUAAAUACUGCAGUUAAAUGUUUGACAAAGAAUAGCCCAAAUCACAUUUUAUGGCACACUAAAAACAAUUUUACGUCUUCCACGCGGAACUUGCAGUCAAAUAAGAAAACUAUGCCAUUUGCCAUCUAGAACUUGGGUAACUGGCCAAAUAUUACUCAAAGAGGACCCAGUUAAUAACGAGUUACAUGUGUACUUGUCUUCCCCUUUGUGCCGCACAGUGAAAUCGUGCCAAUUUUGAGAGACAGAACAUGGCCCUUCUUGCUCGCCCCCUAUUAUGAGUAAUUGGAUCAGGAAACAAUGAUUGGUUCCUUACCAGUGGAUAAACACUUCUUAGUAAAGAUCAAAACAACUUGCAUUUGGGAAAUCUAUUAGCCAUUUUUUUUUUGGUUACAAUUUUUUUUUUAUGGAAGUAUAGUUGACAUACAAGGUUAUAUUAGUUUCAGGUGUACGACAUAGUGAUUUGACAAUUCUGUACGUUACACAAUGCUGCUAUGAAAAGUGUCGCUACCAGCUGAUGUUAUGAUUGCUAAUUAAGUUUUCUAUGUUUGAUAUCUAUUUGGCUGAAAAUCUAGAAGGCAAUGAAGAUCUGACCUACUAAAUAAUAAACAUUCGCCAAAUUUUCA
rnacentral:lncRNA from 1 species